UACGUAGGGUGCGAGCGUUGUCCGGAAUUAUUGGGCGUAAAGAGCUCGUAGGCGGUGUGUCACGUCGGCCGUGAAAACCUGCAGCUUAACUGUGGGCGUGCGGUCGAUACGGGCAUCACUGGAGUUCGGCAGGGGAGACUGGAAUUCCUGGUGUAGCGGUGAAAUGCGCAGAUAUCAGGAGGAACACCGGUGGCGAGGGCGGGUCUCUGGGCCGAUACUGACGCUGAGGAGCGAAAGCGUGGGUAGCGAACAGG
rnacentral:rRNA from 1 species